UACGGAGGGGGCUAGCGUUAUUCGGAAUUAUUGGGCGUAAAGGGCGCGUAGGCGUCCCGGUAAGUCAAAGGUGAAAUCCCUCGGCUCAACUGAGGAACUGCCUUUGAAACUGUCGGGCUUGAGGCCGGGAGGGGGUAGCGGAAUUCCCAGUGUAGCGGUGAAAUGCGUAGAUAUUGGGAGGAACACCGGUGGCGAAGGCGGCUACCUGGACCGGUUCUGACGCUGAUGCGCGAAAGCGUGGGUAGCAAACAGG
rnacentral:rRNA from 1 species